ensembl:miRNA
UCUCAGGCUGUGACCCUCUACAGGGAGGCACUUUCUUUGGUCAGAAAAAGAAAGUGCAUCCUUUUAGAGUGUUACUGUUUGAGA